CAGCACCUCGAGUGGUCAGGAUGAUUAUUGGGCCUAAAGCAUCCGUAGCCGGCUCUGUAAGUUUUCGGUUAAAUCUGUAUGCUCAACAUACAGGCUGCCGGGAAUACUGCAGAGCUAGGGAGUGGGAGAGGUAGACGGUACUCGGUAGGAAGGGGUAAAAUCCUUUGAUCUAUUGAUGACCACCUGUGGCGAAGGCGGUCUACCAGAACACGUCCGACGGUGAGGGAUGAAAGCUGGGGGAGCAAACCGGAUUAGAGACCCGAGUAGUCC
rnacentral:rRNA from 1 species